rnacentral:tRNA from 1 species
ACCUGGCUGGCUGAGUUGGUAGAGCAUAUGACUCUUGAUCUUGGAGUUGUGAGUUUAAGCCCCAUGUUGGGUG